AUUUAUUCGCAUGUGUUUAUUGCUGCAUAGUUUCAAGAUUAUUAACAUUUUUAACUUCGAAGAAAUUUGUUCACCGGCGAUCAUGAAGAUUUUACUCAUAUCAGUUAUGUUAAUGCUAUUAAUUGCAACUACAUCAGGUGCUAGAUGGAAAUACCUUCUAAGGGAAAAGGCUUACCUACUGAAGGCGUCAGCCGAGCGAGUCCAGAAAGAUCUAACGGCACUGCGGGCGAUACUGUCCUUCCAGGCUCGGAUUAAAUCGAAACUGGAUUCAAAUUGUUAAUGGAGUAACGCCUACAUCAAACAUUCGCAGACGCCUACAAAAAUGUCGUGGACACAAUAAAACGAGUUUUAAUAUCACAAAUAUAUUUAUUGUAUUAUUGUACAUUAUGUUUACAUAACACAGACGAAGUACUACUAUCACUCUGAGAAUGAUUAAACGAAUUUAGAAACUAUA